rnacentral:rRNA from 1 species
AUUGAACGCUAGCGGGAUGCUUUACACAUGCACGUCGAACGGAGGGGCGGAAGGGUGAGUAAUAUAUCGGAACGUGCCCAGUAGCGGGGGAUAACUACUCGAAAGCGUGGCUAAUACCGAAAACUAUUAGAGCGGCCGAUAUGGGAAUAGCUAGUAGGUGGGGUAAAGGCUCACAAAGGCAACGAUCCGUAGCUGGUUUGAGAGGACGACCAGCCACACUGGGACUGAGACACGGCCCAGACUCCUCCGGGAGGCAGCAGUGGGGAAUUUUGGACAAUGGGGGAAACCCUGAUCCAGCCAUCCCGCGUGUAUGAUGAAGGCCUUCGGGUUGUAAAGUACUUUUGGCAGAGAAGCGGUAUCUGCAGAAUAAGCACCGGCUAACUACGUGCCAGCAGCCGCGGUAAUUC